rnacentral:rRNA from 1 species
GAUAAACGCUAGCGGCAGGCUUAACACAUGCAAGUCGAGGGGCAGCAUAGAUUGUAGCAAUACAAUUGGUGGCGACCGGCGCACGGGUGCGUAACGCGUAUGCAACCUACCCGUCACAGGGGGAUAAUCCGGAGAAAUCUGGUCUAAUACCCCAUAACAUAUGGACCGGCAUCGGUUCAUGUUGGAAUUUUCGGAGGUGACGGAUGGGCAUGCGUAGCAUUAGCUUGUUGGUGAGGUAACGGCUCACCAAGGCGACGAUGCUUAGGGGGACUGAGAGGUUUUCCCCCCACACUGGUACUGAGACACGGACCAGACUCCUACGGGAGGCAGCAGUGAGGAAUAUUGGUCAAUGGGCGCAAGCCUGAACCAGCCAUGCCGCGUGCAGGAUGACGGCUCUAUGAGUUGUAAACUGCUUUUGUACGAGGGUAAAGUGGGUUACGUGUAACCUUUUGAAAGUAUCGUACGAAUAAGGGACGGCUAACUUCGUGCCAGCCGCCGCCGUAA